CACCCAUUCUUGAAAGAAGCAGAUCCAAGUAGGAUUACCUAGCUCUGAAUUAAUUCAAUGUGGGUUGCCUUCAAAAUAUAUUUAAAAAUAAAAAUCGUUCCAAAAUGUUACUAUUAGCAAAUACUCUAUACAGGGAUUAUAUGUGCAGGAAGCAUUUUUUAAAGGCUGUCUACUAGUUUCCAAUUUCUUUCUGUGUUCAAUUAAAAUGCUGCUGAUAACCUUUAGUCUUUAAUAGCUUUCCUAUCAGAGUAUUUCAAGGACAGCUUCAUAUGUACUGGCCGACCCACUGAGAUAAUCUUAGGAAGUCCUCUUGUACAAUCCAUCAUCAUCAGAGGGACUACUGAGUAUCUCUACCAGGAAUCUGGAACUCUUUCUCUGCAAAUGUCAUGGAAGCUGAUAGAGAUUUUCCUGUUCAGAGAGCUCUUUGAUGGUUUGAUACUGGAGCCUCCGGUGACUCAGUGUGUUAAAGCGAUGAGCUGCUGAACUUGCAGACCGAAAGGUCCCUGGUUCAAAUCCGGGGAGCGGAGUGAGCUGUAAGCUCCAGCUUCUGCCAACCAGCUUCUGCAUUCCAUGCAGUCAUGCUGGCCACAUGACCUUGGAGGUGUCUACGGACAACGCUGGCUCUUCGGCUUAGAAAUGGAGAUGAGCACCAACCCCCAGAGUCAGACACGACUGGACUUAACGUCAGGGGAAACCUUUACCUUAGUUUGAUACUGGUGUUUUAAUUGUAUAUUUUAUGAUCUAAAUGUGACUGAUUGGGCUUGUCCCCAUGUAAGCCGCUUCGGGGAGAUGGUGGCGGCAUACAAAAAUAAAGUUGUUGUUGUUGUUGUUGUUGCUAUUAUUAUUAUUUGGUGUGUCAAGAAUGUAUAUAUGAUGAACAGUUUGUUCCACAAAAUUCAAUCAGUUGCUCUCCUGCUUCAUUUCUUGAUCAAUGACCAAAUUCUCCUACGAUAUUUGGUUCUACUCUGCUUCCUACUUUUGCAUUCUAAUCACCCAUGAUUGCCAAUAUGUCCUGUUUUGAUGUGUGAACAAUUUUCUCCUGGACACCAGCAAAGAAUCUAAAUUUUGUUUCUAUAUCCUAGCUCCUCCCAGGAUGUAGUCUCUACCCCACCCCACCCUAAAACUUGGGCUUUCCUGGGGGGGAAAUUGACCCAGGAGGGCAUCCAGCCACCUCCAUGUAGCCCCUAAACUUAUCUGAAGGGCCUGGCUGCAUGCUCAGGCUCCUCUGUCUAGAACUCCUGGUGUGUCAAAAUGAUGUGUCAGAAGAUUGGGAGGGGGAGAAUUUCCCUCCCCCCCCCCCAAACCUCCUAACAUGCCAUCUUGACGCAUCAGGAGUUCUGGACGGAGAGGCCUGAGCAUGCAGCCAGGCCCCUCAGGUAAGUUUAAGGGCUAAAUGGGGAGCUAGGAGGUGAGGGUAGGGGUACCAUCUUGCUCCUUCGGGCUCUAGGAGCCCAAAGAACCAGGAUUGCUGUGGGGAAUCAUUCCUGACAGGCCCAGCAUUUUUCAGAUCUGGAUCUUUCAGUGAGGCCCAGAUCUGUUGAGAUGUCAAUUUAAUCUGGGUUUAUCUGACGCAUCAUUUGGACACCUCAGGUAAACCCGUUACCCAUCACAGGUUUUAGGACCUGUAUAGAAGAGCCCUUAUUGAAAUUAUUCAGUCAGAUUUUGCAUUAUACACUUUGAGAGCUUUUACUACAUUUCUAUUUUUCAAUUCUCUGAGUAAAACACUUUAAUUAGGUGGCUCAAAAUACCCCAUUCCUCUCCAUUUCGCCUCAUUUGCUCCAAGUAGUCCAAUGUUUAUGCAUUCUAUUUCUUGUUUAAUAUUGUCAGACUUACCGAUUCAUACUUUUCAUAUUCCAUGUUCCUAUAAUAUGUGUUGUGUGACUGCAACUUUUCUUUCACCUCUGAGAAUGUCAACAGCUGAAUGUCCUUUCCACUUGAAUCCAGUUUCUUUAUUAGACACAGCACUACUCAUACUUGUCAUCUGCUCUUCCCCAGGAGCCCACUGAGUUCCUUCCGACUUGAGAUUCUCAACUUCUGGCACUAUCUCUUGUUUCAUUAUGGAUUGUCUCAUCAUGGGGUAGAUUGCUUCAGAUGUGGCUUACCAUGGUUUUCUUGUGCACAGUACUAAUAAACAUUCUUUAUGGUGCA